GUAUUCAUCAAACAGAAAAAGAUGGCAGCAAAUGAGUUUAUUCACAAGAGCUAUUAUAGCCCUGGUGCGCUCUGCGGUCCUGCAAACUCGGAAAAAUACUGCCUUCCACCCUCCUCCCUGCUAAGGCCAGAGGCCUCGAAGCCCUGCUCUCAGCUAAUCGCCACAGGAGCAAGAAGCAACAGAAGCUCGUCCUAACCAAGGACCGUUUCCUGUAAACCCUGCCUACAAAUUGCAGCAACAAAACAAGAUAAAUGCGACAGUAACCGACAUGGGAAGACCAGGGAUGAGAUGGCUGGUGGAAGGCUGACGGGCAUCAUUUGAGUGUAAAGCAGUUUAGUGAAAUUCCUUUUGAUUUCAACCCUGAACAGAAGCUACAUAUACCUUUAUGUCACCUCCCUCAGCAAGCUCUGGAGUGUCGGCAGCUUGCUGAAGGUGGGGCUCCUUGUGGUCCACGUUAGUGGGCUACGCCUGAGGCUCCUUACCUCUGAGAUCCUAGACAAAGGAUUCUCUAAACCUUGAUGAUCUGUAUGAUGGGGAUGCUAACUUAAU